rnacentral:misc_RNA from 2 species
AACGCACCUUGCGCUCCUUGGUAUUCCGAGGAGCAUGCCUGUUUGAGUGUCAUUAAUAUACAUAUAUCAAGCCUUCUCUUGUAGAAGGGUUUGGAUGUGGGGGUUUGCUGGCCUCUUAAUCUUAAGAGUUCAGCUCUCCUGAAAUGCAUUAGCAGAACAACCUUAUGUUCAUUGGUGUGAUAACUAUCUACGCUAUUGAAUGUUGAGAGGGAAGUUCAGCUUUCUAACGGUCCCUUGGACAACUCAUCAUUAAUGUGACCUCAAAUCAGGUAGGACUACCCGCUGAACUUAA